CCUACGGGAGGCUGCAGUGGGGAAUAUUGGACAAUGGGCGAAAGCCUGAUCCAGCCAUGCCGCGUGUGUGAAGAAGGCCUUCGGGUUGUAAAGCACUUUCAGUGGGGAAGACAGCCUUGGGGCUAAUACCCUCGAGGAAGGACAUCACCCACAGAAGAAGCACCGGCUAACUCCGUGCCAGCAGCCGCGGUAAUACGGAGGGUGCGAGCGUUAAUCGGAAUUACUGGGCGUAAAGCGCGCGUAGGCGGUCUGAUAAGCCGGUUGUGAAAGCCCCGGGCUCAACCUGGGAACGGCAUCCGGAACUGUCAGGCUAGAGUGCAGGAGAGGAAGGUAGAAUUCCCGGUGUAGCGGUGAAAUGCGUAGAGAUCGGGAGGAAUACCAGUGGCGAAGGCGGCCUUCUGGACUGACACUGACGCUGAGGUGCGAAAGCGUGGGUAGCAAACAGGAUUAGAUACCCGUGUAGUC
rnacentral:rRNA from 1 species